rnacentral:rRNA from 1 species
GUGAACGCUGGCGGUAGGCCUAACACAUGCAAGUCGAACGGCAGCACAGUAAGAGCUUGCUCUUACGGGUGGCGAGUGGCGGACGGGUGAGGAAUACAUCGGAAUCUACUUUUUCGUGGGGGAUAACGUAGGGAAACUUACGCUAAUACCGCAUACGACCCACGGGUGAAAGCAGGGGAUCUUCGGACCUUGCGCGAUUGAAUGAGCCGAUGUCGGAUUAGCUAGUUGGCGGGGUAAAGGCCCACCAAGGCGACGAUCCGUAGCUGGUCUGAGAGGAUGAUCAGCCACACUGGAACUGAGACACGGUCCAGACUCCUACGGGAGGCAGCAGUGGGGAAUAUUGGACAAUGGGCGCAAGCCUGAUCCAGCCAUACCGCGUGGGUGAAGAAGGCCUUCGGGUUGUAAAGCCCUUUUGUUGGGAAAGAAAAGCAGCAGGUUAAUACCCCGCUGUUCUGACGGUACCCAAAGAAUAAGCACCGGCUAACUUCGUG